UGGGAGUUGCUGGCUGGUGUUGUUGGCUCGACGCGAGGCAGGUACAGCGGGAAGAUGAGACGGGAUGGUCGGAGAUGGUGGAAAGCAGCCGCUACUGCAACAUAUCAACAGAGAAUUUGGUGGGACGUCGUCAGAGAGGGGAUAAUCGGAGAUGUGGGGAGCGGCGGACGAUGCUACGGAGAUUGAAGUGAGAAGAAGAAAAAGUUGGAACUUGG
rnacentral:lncRNA from 1 species